rnacentral:rRNA from 1 species
GUCGAACGCAUCCCGUUGAAUUGAAGUGCUUGCACUGAUAGUCAACAUCGGAUGAGUGGCGAACUGGUGAGUAACACGUGGGUAACCUGCCCAGAAGCGGGGGAUAACACUUGGAAACAGGUGCUAAUACCGCAUAACAACAAAAACCGCAUGGUUUUUGUUUGAAAGAUGGUUUCGGCUAUCACUUCUGGAUGGACCCGCGGCGUAUUAGCUAGUUGGUGGAGUAAUGGUUCACCAAGGCAAUGAUACGUAGCCGACCUGAGAGGGUAAUCGGCCACAUUGGGACUGAGACACGGCCCAAACUCCUACGGGAGGCAGCAGUAGGGAAUCUUCCACAAUGGACGAAAGUCUGAUGGAGCAACGCCGCGUGAGUGAAGAAGGCUUUAGGGUCGUAAAACUCUGUUGUUGAAGAAGAACGUGUGUGAGAGUAACUGUUCACACAGUGACGGUAUUCAACCAGAAAGCCACGGCUAACUACGUGCCAGCAGCCGCGGUAAUACGUAGGUGGCAAGCGUUGUCCGGAUUUAUUGGGCGUAAAGCGAGCGCAGGCGGUUUCUUAAGUCUGAUGUGAAAGCCUUCGG